CGCCGCUCCGGGGCCGGGAACGGGCUUCGGAGCCCUCGGCUGCUCCGAGGCUGCUUUAGGGAUGAGGCUGGGUUGGUUUGGUUUGGGUUCUUUGGGGUUUUUUUCGGGGGGGUGUAUAUAAAUCUGUGCUGGAGUGUGGCGGCUCCGUGCCCGGAGUUUGACGCUCAGCUCCGGCGGUGCCGCGGGCACACGCGGCGGGUGGGGGGCAGGAGAACAGACAACCAGAGGGGCACAGACCCCCUUUUCUCCCUCCCCUCUCCCCCAAAAUCCGCCUCUUUGAGCACCGUGCCGCCGGCAGAGCUGUCACUCGAGGUUUCUGGCCAGCAGCGCUGAGGACUGUCACGGCCAACAUUUGGAGAUGCUGGGUCUUAACGUGGGCCUGCAGCAGGGACAGGGACAUCCCUGGCCGUGCUGUGGGCUGCAGACAGGACAGCCCUCAACCCCCUCAACCCUGAGGGCUUUGCCCUGAACCCAGCCCCACCAGCCCAGCAGGAAAAGGGAACCAGCAGCACAAAACCCACCCUGGCCACCAGGCCAGCGGCCAGCCAAGCCCACAGCUCCCCUGGAGGGACCAGCAGACACGGACCUGCUCCGUCCCAGCACAGAGCGGGUUUCUCGCGGCGCUAAUUACUGCUAAUUGAGCCACUUGACAAUCGGGGAGCCCUGCCCCGGGCAGGCUGAUAGAGUAUCGGGGAGAUAAGGAGCACUCAGCGCAGGUAACGGGGAAGUGUUGUCAGACCUGUGGUGGCACCUUCUGGAGGGGUUAUCUCCCCUCCCCGGAGCACCAAAUUCCGAAGGGAAGCACUCUGAUCAUGAGGGUCUGUGCAGAGCCUAAUAGAGAUCUUUAAGAGAGGAUGAAAAGCUUUUUAGGAGGUGCCCUGUGGGAUUUUGGUGACUCAGGAGCUCAGCAAAGCAAGCUGGCAUUCAUUUCAGAGUAACUCUUUUAAAUUUCCUUAACAUGCAUUUUAUUCCUUUGGCUGGCUUUUGCUGUUGUUAAUUUAACAUCGUGGAAAUGAAACUUUAAGCAUUUUUCCCCUUUUUUUCUUCC